rnacentral:rRNA from 1 species
UACGUAGGGACCAAGCGUUGUCCGGAUUUACUGGGCGUAAAGAGCGCGCAGGCGGUCGUUCAAGUCGAGUGUGAAAGCCCCCGGCUCAACUGGGGAGGGUCACUCGAUACUGAUCGACUCGAAGGCAGGAGAGGGUAGUGGAAUUCCCGGUGUAGUGGUGAAAUGCGUAGAUAUCGGGAGGAACACCAGUGGCGAAGGCGACUACCUGGCCUGUUCUUGACGCUGAGGCGCGAAAGCUAGGGGAGCAAACGGG